AGAAGACACGAAUGAAGGGUUCUUCACACCUUUCUGUGGACAAGAUAAUGAUGAGGCGUUCUUGCUAGAAAUAACCACAUACAUUCCAAUUUAUUACAACAAAUCACUGUCAAAAACAUCACCAUUUUUCAAAGCCAAGAGCAGACAAGAUAUCAGUCUUGAAUAUAGAGAAUCUAGACCUACAAUUCAUUACAGUGGACGAGUCAACCCAAUGUUCUUGAUGAGAAACUCUAGCCGCUGUGCUUGUCAAGGCUGUCCACCUUGUACAGAAGUAUUUGGAAAAUUAGUUGAGAUUGUGAAGGACGAAGAUGAUUCCAAAGAAAAAACUAUAGACUUCAACAAUCUGAUAACAAUAUUGGGAGGUGUAGUCACAAGCUUAUUUAUUCCUGUAGUUCUGCUCCUUGUUCGACAUAAUAUUCGAAACCGGAGUGUUAAAGAACAAACCAGUAAAAGAAAUCCAGGGGAUGGCUCCGACGAUAUUGACGGAAAAAUCGACAACAAUGAUGCUGCUUCAGAAGAGGACCAACAUGAAUUAUGUCUAUUAACUCCCAGACAAUCUAUGACGAGUGAUGAAUUAUCUUUUCAUUCUGCAUAUUAAAUCUGGUCAAUUUCUUAUAUUAUAUUUAUGACAAUAUCUUUGACCUAGGUUUUAAAAUAAAUACAUGUAAGGUGACUAGAAAAAUUCACAUCACAGUCAAAAAUGGUUCAUAAAGUGUAGGCAUUUUAAUCAAGCAAACAGGAUAAGUGAAUAUAUAUUACAAAAAUGGAGUGAUCACUUUUUCAAGAAAAGAUUUUUCGGUCGAAAGUUUUGCUUGUUUGCAAAAACUCAAUUUUGGUCUGCAUGAAAUUUAGUUUAUUGUUUAACAUGGUUAUUAAAAAAUAACACUCAAUGUGGAUGUAUGUUAAAGUGCGUUUCGUUUUAACAAUUGGUAUCACCAUCUCAGAGAGCGAGUCUAUCUUACCCAAUGUGCUUUCAUAACAUAUCAGGGAAACUGAUAUUCUCUAUGAACAAAUUGUUCAUAAAAUGCUUAAAUCUAUCGAAACACAAAGGUGUUUGCAUCCCAGACAUAGUUGAUCUUAGCCACAUUCGGAAAUUAAAGGUUUUUUUUUAAUUUUUGAUUUUAAAUGGAUUUCAACAUCGCUAUGGAUAGGGCUUUUACAAUUUUUCGAUUCUAGCGCCGAUUUUAAAUUAUAAAAGAGGCGCUACCUUCUACAUUCCUGUCCACUGAAUUUCAAGUGUGUUUGAUGGCAUACUAAAAGGCAUAUCAGAAUUUCAAAAGUCUCAAUCAAAGGAAACCAUAAAACAGUGCAAGAAAUAAUAAACAGUAUCAACACUUUGAGAACGGUCGUCAGCUCACUAACCAUCCACAUGACGCACGAAGAUUGCCGAUUAUCAUUUAUCUGUCCCCCGUGUAAAUAUAACAGAUGACAUACAUAGCACAUACAGUACUACUAGUCGAUCUCAUAUACAGUAAGAGGUUAAAACAUUAGGUAUUUCGGCAUUUUACCUGUAACCGGUAUAAGACUUUUGCGAGUCGCAACAGUCAACGAAAUCGAUAAUCCUGUUUGACCUUUUGCAGCUGACAAUGUAACUGGUACAGCUAAGCACAUACGUUAUCAUCGCCAGCGAAGGACAGACUCAAAGGUCGCAUGCAGAUGAAUCUAAAUAAGUGUCAUAUAAUUGUCCGCUAGACAACACAGUGUUAGUUAUUUUAUUGUUUGGCUUAUUUUGACAAAAAUAAUCCCACUUGACGCUUAUAAUGAAUAAUUAAUCAAUUAUAAUCCGUUGUUGUAAAUGUUUCAGGCCAAGAAAAACAUAUUUUAAAUAUUUCAAAUUAUAUUGUCAAAAGUAUAGUUAAUAACAUCUAUCGUAAGUUUUAAUUCCAUAAAGCACUGAAACAUGUUUUGUUCUG